CAGAGAGACAUGAAUAUUGGGUUCUGAAUUACACGUGCAUUUCUCUAAACUUAGGUCCUUUUCGAGGCAUAUCAAAUGGCAGCAACAAACAGCGAGAUAAAGGUUACAGAUAAGAGUUUUGAUCUUCAAAGCUCUCUCUAUCUCUCUCUCUCUCUAGCAGUAAAUGGAUUGGAAAGGGACCUACAAACUGAGGGGAGUAAUCAGUUUGUCUACAUUCACGAAUUGUUCACUGCAUUUGGACAAUAGAUAAUACUGUGUCUCUUUCUUUCUCACAUGCACCCGUCAAUAGAAUCAUUAAAAUUCGCUAGGUUUUUUUCCAUCACUACUUAGGUUUCCUCCUUUCACCAGGACUAAUCAUCGUUUCUUUUCUUUCAAAAUCUAUUUUUUUUUAUCUGAUCUUUAUUCUUCCAAAUCUUAAAUACUUCGUUCAGUAUAAUUCAUUUCUUGAAACAUCUUCUUAAUGUGCUUUGGGAUGCACUGCUAUAUCUACCUAUUAAAAAAAAGAAGAUUCUGACAUUAUCGAUCCAUCGGAAAUCCACUGCUAAGUCCAUCGAUCCAUCGGAAGCUAGAGUUAUAGGAUGCUACCUUCUCUCAGCUUUAAUUAGUUUCAGGAAGAAAUGGAAAUAAGAAAAUAAAUAUCCCCGAAGUUCUGUGACAAGAUCAUACUCCGAGAAGAUACUGAG
rnacentral:lncRNA from 1 species